AUGCAAUCUCUCUCUCUUUCUCUUUCCCUUUCUCUUACAGACAUGUGAAAAAUAGCCUAAUAAGGAUCUUCGUGGUAAAAUCAGAUGGAAAACGGGGAGGCAGAGUCGCGUCUCCAGCAGCUCAUUCGACGCGGCGGCUCCUCCGAGUUGUACAAUAAUCAUCAGUGCUGGCCCGGUGCCGCUGGAUUAUUUUGUAUAUUCAUGAAGGCCCUCAUCAGCCGUCAGGAGACUGUGCAGUAAUCCUUGGAUGAAAUAAGGCCAAUCAGAGCGAUAAUGAGGAAGGUCAAUUGCCCAGAGGCUUCUCCUCCUGUUUUCCAUCUAUUUAUAUACGUGGACCAUAAUAAGCCUCUUGGAACCAGAAGUUACUGGGCCUACAUAAACACCUGCUCUGGUUUUUUGUUUGUCUUUUACCCGAAAUCAGCAAAGUUUUUUUUUUUUUAAAUGAAUCUGCAAAACCAUGUCAAAGCUAUCAACUCAUGCAUGGAGUCGGAAAACAAAGGAGGAUUCUAAUAAUGUUUAUUUUCCUCUUUAUCAGAGACCCCCCCCCCAUACAAAAUCCCAAACCAAAAGAGGAGCCUAUAAAGGAAUGUCUAAACUGCUCACAGAGCUUUCUUUUCACAAAACGAGCGAGAAACCAUCAACAGGGCAGGGAAGGCAAACACGUCUGCCCCACACUGCUUGUGCUUUCUUGGGUCACAGAGACACAUCCGAGCAGGUCAUGGGCUGCUUCCACCGACAGAUGUCCUGAUGUGAAGGAGAGUACCACUGAAGAAAAUGCCUGAACUGCUAUUAUCUGCAUCCUUCAAGCGCUUGUGAGUGAGUACACACACACAUGCUGAAAGAUGCCACACACACAUACCACACACACACACACAUACACAUACUUUACAGAAUGAUGGCAUACACACAUAACCUCCCCCCCCCACACACACUACACUCAAAGAUCACACACACACACACACACAACACACACUUCACAAAAUGAUGGCAUACACACAUAACCUCCACACAAACACUACACUGAAAGAUGCACAUACACAUACCACACACACAGACACACACACCACAAAUAGCAUACAUAGCAUAUACACACAUACACACUAUACACACACACCACAUGCCAUACACACACACACGCCAUACACCACACACACACACACACACACACACACACACACACACACCACACAUCCACACACCACACACACACACACACACACACACACACACUAUCCCUGCUCUCUCCCGGCUUAACUCCUCCCCUCCUCUCUAAGUCUUUCCUGCUUCAUGAUGGUGCUCUCAUCCCACACACAGGCGUUUGAUGCUGAUUCCUACUUCACAGAUUUCAGUUGUUUCUCUUUCCCUCUCCGUCUUUCCGUAGCCAUUGAAAUCACAUUUUGAAUUAGUUGGGGAGAAAGUGAGCUGCAUGCUGAAGCUGUACUUGAUAUCUGAAUCGCACUUCCGUGGGGAAGAAAAAAAUUAUCCCUUUUUAGGCAAAUUGCAUAUGAGACAAAUAAACGCAUUUAUUCACAGCAGCAAAAUGAAAGUCCCCAAGAAGUGUCACGCAGAAAUGCCUGGAUAUGUUAGGUCCCAGCACACCUCUGACGGCUUUUC
rnacentral:lncRNA from 1 species